rnacentral:rRNA from 1 species
GCUCAACCGAGGAAGUGCUUCGAAAGCUGGUAAACUUGAGUGCAGAAGAGGAAAGUGGAACUCCAUGUGUAGCGGUGGUAUGCGUAGAUAUAUGGAAGAACACCAGUGGCGAAGGCGGCUUUCUGGUCUGUAACUGACGCUGAGAUUCGAAAGCAUGGGUAGCAAACAGGAUUAGAUACCCUGGUAGUCCAUGCCGUAAACGAUGAGUGCUAAGUGUUGGAGGGUUUCCGCCCUUCAGUGCUGCAGCUAACGCAUUAAGCACUCCGCCUGGGGAGUACGACCGCAAGGUUGAAACUCAAAGGAAUUGACGGGGGCCCGCACAAGCGGUGGAGCAUGUGGUUUAAUUCGAAGCAACGCGAAGAACCUUACCAGGUCUUGACAUACCAUGAAAAGCUUAGAGAUAAGUCUUUCCCUUCGGGGACAUGGAUACAGGUGGUGCAUGGUUGUCGUCAGCUCGUGUCGUGAGAUGUUGGGUUAAGUCCCGCAACGAGCGCAACCCUUAUUAUCAGUUGCCAGCAUUCAGUUGGGCACUCUGGUGAGACUGCCGGUGACAAACCGGAGGAAGGUGGGGACGACGUCAAAUCAUCAUGCCCCUUAUGACCUGCGCUACACACGUGCUACAAUGGUCGGUACAACG